CCUACGGGCGGCAGCAGUGGGGAAUAUUGGACAAUGGGCGAAAGCCUGAUCCAGCCAUGCCGCGUGUGUGAAGAAGGCCUUUGGGUUGUAAAGCACUUUCAGUGGGGAAGAAAGCCUUGGGGCUAAUACCCUCGAGGAAGGACAUCACCCACAGAAGAAGCACCGGCUAACUCCGUGCCAGCAGCCGCGGUAAUACGGAGGGUGCGAGCGUUAAUCGGAAUUACUGGGCGUAAAGCGCGCGUAGGCGGUCUGAUAAGCCGGUUGUGAAAGCCCCGGGCUCAACCUGGGAACGGCAUCCGGAACUGUCAGGCUAGAGUGCAGGAGAGGAAGGUAGAAUUCCCGGUGUAGCGGUGAAAUGCGUAGAGAUCGGGAGGAAUACCAGUGGCGAAGGCGGCCUUCUGGACUGACACUGACGCUGAGGUGCGAAAGCGUGGGUAGCAAACAGGAUUAGAUACCCCGGUAGUC
rnacentral:rRNA from 1 species